UGAGGAAUAUUGGUCAAUGGGUGCAAGCCUGAACCAGCCAUCCCGCGUGAAGGACGACUGCCCUAUGGGUUGUAAACUUCUUUUGUAUAGGGAUAAACCUACCCUCGUGAGGGUAGCUGAAGGUACUAUACGAAUAAGCACCGGCUAACUCCGUGCCAGCAGCCGCGGUAAUACGGAGGGUGCAAGCGUUAUCCGGAUUUAUUGGGUUUAAAGGGUCCGUAGGCGGACUUAUAAGUCAGUGGUGAAAGCCUGUCGCUUAACGAUAGAACUGCCAUUGAUACUGUAAGUCUUGAGUAUAUUUGAGGUAGCUGGAAUAAGUAGUGUAGCGGUGAAAUGUAUAGAUAUUACUUAGAACACCAAUUGCGAAGGCAGGUUACCAAGAUAUAACUGACGCUGAGGGACGAAAGCGUGGGGAGCGAACA
rnacentral:rRNA from 1 species